rnacentral:siRNA from 1 species
AAACAUAAAAGAGGGAUGCAACAC